rnacentral:rRNA from 1 species
UACGUAGGGUGCAAGCGUUGUCCGGAAUUAUUGGGCGUAAAGAGCUCGUAGGCGGUCUGUUGCGUCGGCUGUGAAAACCCGGGGCUCAACUCCGGGCCUGCAGCCGAUACGGGCAGACUAGAGUUCGGCAGGGGAGACUGGAAUUCCUGGUGUAUCGGUGAAAUGCGCAGAUAUCAGGAGGAACACCGGUGGCGAAGGCGGGUCUCUGGGCCGAUACUGACGCUGAGGAGCGAAAGCGUGGGGAGCGAACAGG